rnacentral:rRNA from 1 species
UACGGAGGGUGCAAGCGUUAUCCGGAUUUACUGGGUUUAAAGGGUGCGCAGGCGGAUAUGUAAGUCAGUGGUGAAAUCUCUAGGCUUAACCUGGAAAUUGCCGUUGAUACUAUAUAUCUUGAAUGCUGUGGAGGUAAGCGGAAUAUGUCAUGUAGCGGUGAAAUGCUUAGAUAUGACAUAGAACACCUAUUGCGAAGGCAGCUCACUACACGGUCAUUGACACUGAGGCACGAAAGCGUGGGGAUCAAACAG